UUUCAAUCCUGCUGCCUGGACCUGAUAAUCAUAUUUAAGAGGUGGUGUUAUGUUCCCAUCCUUCACCUCUUUAUUGAUAUAACAUGGAGGAAGAGGAAAAACAGCUGUUUUCUGAGGGAGUUUUGGCAUAUUCUCACUGUGUGCAAACUGAGAUAUUCAAAAUCAAGGCAAUGGUGCAUUAACUUGGGCAUGAAUUACUGUCACCCAAAUACAUAAGACAAAAUACAGACUGGCCAGGAUGCUGCUGUGGGCCUUAUGACUGCUCCCUCAUUACUGUAUGCUGUACAGAGUAUCCUGUCUUGGGCGAAGUUACAAUCUGAAAGCAACGCUACAUUAAGCAAGUGGUGAGCAAGCAUGAUUACAAGUGCAACUGCGAGUCACUUACCAUUAAUUCCUGUGGGUGUACGUACAGAUGGAGAUAGAGACCCACCUCCCUUGGGAAACACCAGCUUCAAUCUGUUCUUCUUGUGACACAAGCCGUGAAUGCCAUGGAGAGAUAAAUUCAACUACAUUCUUUCCUGUAAUGGGAAUGGUAUUUCACUAUGCUGUUACCUCCUCCCAUGUAGCCUCACAUGUGCUCAGAAAUGCAACAGAUUCUACAGCAGUUUUAAGAUUUGUCUUCUGAAAAUGUCAUUUUGAAGCUGUGAAAUCAGCCGUGCUCAAAAUGAAAAGCACGCUCAAUGGUAUGGAAAGAGAUGGAAGCUAGAAUUUCUUCUUUAUGCCAUUUCUUCUGACCCCAGAAAAUGCUGACCUCCUGCAUCUGUCCAUUUUGACUGACAAAUAAGUGGUCAGUUUGGAUAAAAACCAAAGAUCAGAACUAAUAAAUGUGUUGGCAGGAACA
rnacentral:lncRNA from 1 species